UAAAUAGAGGGGGGAGGAGGCUCUCUUGCCCUUUCCGCUGCAAGGGAGCCAUCUGGGUGAUAAACCCUGGCCUUGACCUCAUGGAAUAAGAACUACUGAAACAUAACUGCUUGACUAAAACAAUGCCAAGAUGCCUGGGGUGGGAAUGCAUUGUAUAAAUAAAAAGCUGAAGAAAAUUA